rnacentral:misc_RNA from 1 species
GAUGAAGAACGCAGCGAAAUGCGAUAAGUAAUGUGAAUUGCAGAAUUCAGUGAAUCAUCGAAUCUUUGAACGCACAUUGCGCCCGCCAGUAUUCUGGCGGGCAUGCCUGUUCGAGCGUCAUUACAACCCUCAGGCCCCCGGGCCUGGCGUUGGGGAUCGGCGGAAGCCCCCUGCGGGCACAACGCCGUCCCCCAAAUACAGUGGCGGUCCCGCCGCAGCUUCCAUUGCGUAGUAGCUAACACCUCGCAACUGGAGAGCGGCGCGGCCACGCCGUAAAACACCCAACUUCUGAAUGUUGACCUCGAAUCAGGUAGGAAUACCCGCUGAACUUAAGCAUAUCAAUAAGCGGAGGAU